rnacentral:rRNA from 1 species
UGGGGGAUAUUGCACAAUGGGCGAAAGCCUGAUGCAGCGACGCCGCGUGGGGGAUGAAGGCUUUCGGGUUGUAAACCUCUUUCGCUAUCGAACAAGGCCCGCUUAGGGUGGGUUGAGGGUAGGUGGAGAAGAAGCGCCGGCUAACUACGUGCCAGCAGCCGCGGUAAUACGUAGGGCGCGAGCGUUGUCCGGAAUUAUUGGGCGUAAAGGGCUUGUAGGCGGCUUGUUGCGCCUGCUGUGAAAACGCGGGGCUUAACUUCGCGCGUGCAGUGGGUACGGGCAGGCGUGAGUGUGGUAGGGGUGACUGGAAAUCCAGGUGUAGCGGUGGAAUGCGCAGAUAUCUGGAGGAACACCGAUGGCGAAGGCAGGUCACUGGGCCAUUACUGACGCUGAGGAGCGAAAGCAUGGGUAGCGAACAGG